UAUUAACUCUUUCUUCGUGCCUAAUACAUGCAAGUCGAGCGAACGGACGAGAAGCUUGCUUCUCUGAUGUUAGCGGCGGACGGGUGAGUAACACGUGGAUAACCUACCUAUAAGACUGGGAUAACUUCGGGAAACCGGAGCUAAUACCGGAUAAUAUUUUGAACCGCAUGGUUCAAAAGUGAAAGACGGUCUUGCUGUCACUUAUAGAUGGAUCCGCGCUGCAUUAGCUAGUUGGUAAGGUAACGGCUUACCAAGGCAACGAUGCAUAGCCGACCUGAGAGGGUGAUCGGCCACACUGGAACUGAGACACGGUCCAGACUCCUACGGGAGGCAGCAGUAGGGAAUCUUCCGCAAUGGGCGAAAGCCUGACGGAGCAACGCCGCGUGAGUGAUGAAGGUCUUCGGAUCGUAAAACUCUGUUAUUAGGGAAGAACAUAUGUGUAAGUAACUGUGCACAUCUUGACGGUACCUAAUCAGAAAGCCACGGCUAACUACGUG
rnacentral:rRNA from 1 species